GUCCACGCCGUAAACGAUGGAUACUAGCUGUUGGGGGCAACUUCAGUGGCUAAGCGAAAGUGAUAAGUAUCCCACCUGGGGAGUACGGGCGCAAGCCUGAAACUCAAAGGAAUUGACGGGGCCCGCACAAGCGGUGGAGCAUGUGGUUUAAUUCGAUGAUACGCGAGGAACCUUACCAAGGCUUAAAUGUAGACUGACCGGUUUGGAAACAGACCUUUCGCAAGACAGUUUACAAGGUGCUGCAUGGUUGUCGU
rnacentral:rRNA from 1 species